ensembl:lncRNA
GGUCUGCAUCCUACCUCCUCACUGGCCUCAACCCCUCACUGUGUGCCUGGCACAUACGUGGUGUUCAAUAAAUAUUUAUGGCCUUGGAGUUCCCAUUGCGACUCAGUUUAAGAACCGGACAUUGUCUCUGUAAGGAUGUAGAUUCAAUCCAUGGCCUCGCUCAGUGGGUUAAGAAUCUGGCGUUGCUGUGAGCUGCAGCGUAGGUUGCAGAUGUGGCUCGGAUCGAGGGUUGCUGUGGCUGUAGCUGUGGCUGUGGUUUUGGUGUAGCCCAGCGGCUGCAGUGCCAAUUGACCCCCUAGCAUGGGAACGUCCAUAUGUUGCAGGUGCAGCCAUAAAAAGAAAAAAAAAAGAAGAAAAAAUCAUGGACUGAUUAAUGAGUUCAAUUUAAUAAAAACUGUAGGGACGAUGUUGUGCACCCAUCGAACAGCAGCAGGUGCUGCUGAGGAGGCUCGGAUGGGGAGGCCUCUGUGGGGCGUGACUCGAUCCAGCCAAUCUGGAGAGCUCUUUCACAACAUCUCUUCAAGUGGAAACCACCCUCCGAUGUCUUUAUUCUUAGAAACGGUUUCUUGGAUGAUUAAGAGUGUUCAUGGCAGUGCCAUAAAUAAUCACAAAAAACUAGAGGUGACCUUUAUGUCCAUCCACAGUGGACGGGGUGGGAGUCACACAGUGGACUUGGCCCAGAAUCAGUCACAGCUUCACUCAUCGAUGUGGAUGACUCAAACACGAAGUAGAUCAAAAAAGAAAACUGCAAAUGGGCAUGGUCAGUAUCUAUCUGUCUAUGUAUUUAUUUAUGGCUUUUUUUAUUUGACCCAUAGCGUCUGGAGGUUCCCAGGCUAGGGGUCAAAUUGGAGCUGCAGCCAUUGUACACCACAGCCACAGCAACGCCACAACUGAGCCACAUCUGCAACCUACAGCACAGCUCACUGCAAUGCAGGAUCCUUAACCCACUGAGCGAGACCAGGGAUCAAACCUGCAUCUUCAUGGAUCCUAGUCAGAUUUGUUUCCACUGUGCCAUGAUGGGAACUCCCAGGAUCCGUACAUUUAAGUGGACACCAUUUAUAUGGCCUUUAAAUAAAUGUAAAACCAUACUAUAUAUUGCUAGUUAUAUACACUAGGCCUCAGGACAGGCUGAGGAGAGACUCAGGGCCCAGUUCCUCGGCAAAGGGUUUAUGUAAUCUGUGCAGUAAGAGAGAGAAUGACAAACAUCAGAUUCAGGAGAGUGGGCACCUUGGUGUGGGAGGGUAGAGAGCUGUACUUGAGUCAGGUACGCAAGGGCUUUUGCCAGCACUGGCAAGUGAUAUUUUCCAGGUUGGGUGGUGGUGGGUACCUGGUGCUUGUGAUGUGAUGCUUUAUUCUGUGGUUGUCAUCACUGUUGUUCACCAGACAUUUGUGGCCCCUUCCCUUGUAAGCACAUACUAAGAUUGCACUUAUUGUGGUUGGGAAGGACCCCGUGACCAGUUCUGGCCAAUGACUUGUGAGCUAGACCAUUAAACAGCCCUUUUGAGACCCUCCAGAUUUCUCUGUUGUGUCUGACAACGUUGGCAAUGUUGGCUGUUCCUUCACCAUGGACUCCUGAGUGACUUCAGUCAGUAGAGCCCUCUGCUCAUCUUUGAAGCAGAAAGCAGAAGCGAGAGGUAGCAAGUAGCAGAAGCAGAAAUGCAUUGACCCCUGAGACUCUGGGGUCGUUUGUUACUACAACAUCCUCUAGACUCUUCUGACUGAUGCAUACCUUUUAAUGUGCUCAAAUAUUUCAACUAAAAAAUAAAAAGGCAUGGAGGGAAAACAUCCAUGCCUUUUGGGCAAGUGCCAAAAAAAUGUGUUUUGAAUACAUAACUCUCUUUUUCCUCCCUUUUUUGGCCACACCUGUGGCAUACAUAAAUUCCUGGGCCAAGGAUUGAAUCCGAGCCACAUCUGCAACAUACACCACACAAGAAUGGAUCUUUAACCCACUGCCCUGGGCCGGGGAUCUAACCUGCAAUGCCACAGACACAAGCUGGAUCAUUAACCCACUGUACCACAGUGGCAACUAGAAAGUGCCAAAAUUUGGCAAGAGAAGAGCAUGGAGAGAAGAAGGCCUGCAAGUCUACAUUUCCAUGGCUGCUUCUAAAAGGGAGGAAGGAGGAAAAAGAAAAAAAAAACCUUUCCUAACACCCUUUUGCCUCUUGAGGGGUGGCAGUGGACAAGCUCCGCCAUGAGUCAGGGAGGCUUCAGGCUGGAGCACUCCUGGCAGUUUACACCUUCCUUAGAAACCCAUUUAGCACCACUGGGCUUUCCCUUGGCUGGGCCUCAGCUUCAGGAAACCAGUCCAGCCGUGGGCAUUAGACGCCUGCAGGGCAGACUUGGCCUGGCACGUUCUCCAGGCUUCCGAGUCCCCCCCUCCCCUAAGCUGCGGGAACAUCAGCCAGAGCAGAUAGAUGAGAUCAGAACAGACAGGAUAUGAGGGACUUCUUGCUGUAGGUGCCUGGCAAGACCGGAAGCCUGGGUUCCCAGGAGCUUGGGGCUGGCCGGCAACUCCGUCAUCCAGUCUGGAAACCACUGACACUCAAACCUGAGCCUCCUGCCUCCUCUCCUCCGGAGGAAGUGCUCCUGGAUUACCUUGACUGGAGGGGAGGGGAGAGGGAGCUGCAGGUAAUACCUGGAUUUCGAUGGUGCUUUUCUUCCUAAAGCUUCAAAAGAUUCCCCUUCUCUGAUCUCCUGUGGCCUCCUCCCAAAACAGGGCAAGGAGACGAGGAGUCUCUCAUUUCUCAGUCCAGGUGGGGACAUGGGGGCCCAGAGAGGGUAAGUGAAUGGUCUGCGGUCACAGAGCAGGACAAGGAUAUGAUUCUGGUGGGUGAGGGUGUCUGUCUCCAGUCCCCGUAUUUCCCGCUCUGGCCCUAGGCCCAUCCUACUGGGCUGGCUGGUCUCUCUCUGUGGGCAGCUGCCUCCGUGCUCUCACGCUGCCCUUGCAGAGGGGGGAGCUGGUCCUGAGGGCCCCACAGGCCUGUCCUGUGGCCUGAGUACUGAGGAGGAGGAGGAUCGGGGAGAUGCCAACGUCAGCCCCCCUCCCACAGCGCAGUGACGCCAGAUUGGCCCUGAGCCCUGCGGUCCCACCCCUGGGAGGUCAGGCCAGGGAGACUGCCAGAACCCAAGGGCUAAAGCAGGUCCAGAUAACGCAACUGGGGCAGCCUCUGUGGGUGGAAAUGACAUUUCUUGGCUUUAAAUAGCUCCAUCUCCAGAGCCCCGGAGCCUCAGCAGGGCUAUUAAUUCCUGGACUCCCGGGGCUGCUCUGCCCUGUCAUUCUGUUUGCACAAGUUGUGUAAGAUCUCAGGCAUUUUUCCUGCCACCCGUCUCCCCGACCUCCCUUCAGUUUCCCUGCACGAUUUCAACAAGGGGUUAGUUUAUUUCUGGUAGCGGGCCUGGGUUUCCAGCUGACCGCAUACAUAGUUUGUCCUUCUUACAAGUGACAUGGCUCAAGUCAACAGCAAACGCUUGAGGGUUUUCUUUGUAACCUGGUGUCUCCAUAAUGAAAGGUAAUGUGUACACGUGUGAAAGGCGAAAAUAGAGGCCAUAUCUACACAUGUCCACAUGGGUAUAUCAAGUGAUUUCAACAGUCGUUUGAUUGUUCAACCAAUAUGUUUAUCCCCCAGAUAUUUGUUUGAGUGCUUACUGUGUGUCAGGCACUGUGCUAGUUCUGGGUGCACAGGGUAAACAAGAGUCCUAACUGAUAAAACCGCUGUUAUCAGCUCCAGGCCCGCCACUAGCGGUGUCUCCUGCCUGGCUGGGCAUCCCAGCCACUAGCUCCAUGUGUCUCUAAAUCUGGCUCAUUGUUAGCAAACUUCCAGCUGCGAAUGAUGAUGAGGAAAAGACAGGCAGGUACAGAAGGUACUCAGCAUAGAAAACUGACAGGUCGGGAGUUCCCCUUGUGGCUCAGCAUUAACGAAUCCAAUUAGGAUCCAUAAGGAAGCCAGUUUGAUCCCUGGCCUCUCUCAGUGGGUUAAGGAUCUGGCAUUGCCACAAGCUGUGGUGUAGGCUGCAGACAAGGUUCGGAUCCUGCGCUGCUAUGGCUGUGGUAUAGGCUGGCAGCUGUAGCUCUGAUUUGCCCCUAGCCUAGGAACUUCCAUAUGCCACAGGUAUGGCCCUAAAAAGCAAAAGGAAAGAAAACAAACAAAAACUUCAGAAAAUUGACAGGUCAGAGUGACUGACUGGUUGGAGAUAUAGGGAUCGAUGGAAAUUCCGAGGUAUUCUGUAAUUUUUUUUUUUUUUUUUUUUUUUUUUUUUUUNNNNNNNNNNNNNNNNNUUGGAAGUUCCUGGGCCAGGGAUUGAACCCACGCCACAGUAGUGACCUGAGCCACUGAAGUGACAACACUGGAUCUUUACCCACUGAACCACUAGGGAACUCCCAGUAUUGAGUAAAUUUUUAGGACGGGGAGAACUGGAGCAUGGCAAAGACAGCUGCAUGGACUUGGGAAGGGCCAUUUGCCUCAGUUAGGAAUUGCGUUUGAUCACAGAUACAAGACCAUUCACAGUGGCUUAAGCCUGGGGGUUUCUUCUCUCACAUAAAAGUCCACAGUCCUCAGGCUGGUACAGCAGGUCCAGUUGCUAGGAUCCUUCUAUCUUUCUGCUCUGACAUUCUCAUAUCCUUCUCAUGGCCCAAAAUAGCUACUGGAGUUCCACUCAUUCCAUCUGAAUUCCAGAAAGAGAGAAAGAAGAAGAACAGAAAGAACAAAAGGUUAUAUGCCCUCCACACUUUUAGGGAACCUACCUAGAAAUCUCAUCACCCUCUUCUUGCCUCUCAUAAACUGAAACUUAGUCACAUGGCUACACCAAGCUUCAGGGGAGAUGUGGAAAUGUAAUUUUUUAGCAGGGCAUGUGGCCCAGGGCUCUGUUAUUCGUGAAGAAGGGAGGGGCUGACUCUGGGGGCACUUAGCAGUUUUCGCUAUGGCAUUCAAUAAAUGCGUGUUGACUUGAACUGAGUUGGGAGGAAAGAUGAGGAAUUGUGUUGGGGGCAUGAAGAGUCUGCAGUGAAGAUGAAACAGAUGUGAAGGGAGGGUUGACCAGUUCUCUAGUCAGUAGCAGCCAGAGAAGAAAACUGUGGCUCUGCUGAAAGCCCAUAGCUGAGUUUAGGUCAAGAAUAUAGCGUGCAGAGUUCCCACUGUGGCACAAUGGGAUUGGCAGUGUCUUGGGUCACAGGUUUGACCCCUGGCCUAGCACAGUGGGUUAAGGGUCCAGCGUUGCUGCAGCUUUGCCUUAGGUUGCAACUGCUGCAGCUUAGGUUCCAUCUGAUCCCUGGCCCUGGAACUCCAUAUGCUGUGGGACAGCCAAAAAAAAGAAUACAGCAAGGGGUGGGGUGAGGGGGAAAGAAGAAAGAGCAGCUUGCAAAAAAACAAAAAAAUAAAAAAAA